rnacentral:rRNA from 1 species
AUUGAACGCUGGCGGCAUGCCUUACACAUGCAAGUCGAACGGUAACAGGUCUUCGGAUGCUGACGAGUGGCGAACGGGUGAGUAUACAUCGGAACGUGCCUAGUAGUGGGGGAUAACUACUCGAAAGAGUGGCUAAUACCGCAUGAGAUCUACGGAUGAAAGCAGGGGAUCGCAAGACCUUGUGCUACUAGAGCGGCCGAUGGCAGAUUAGGUAGUUGGUGGGAUAAAAGCUUACCAAGCCGACGAUCAGUAGCUGGUCUGAGAGGACGAUCAGCCACACUGGGACGGAGACACGGCCCAGACUCCUACGGGAGGCAGCAGUGGGGAAUUUUGGACAAUGGGCGCAAGCCUGAUCCAGCAAUGCCGCGUGCAGGAUGAAGGCCUUCGGGUAGUAAACUGCUUUUGUACGGAACGAAAAGCCCCGGGUUAAUACCCUGGGGUCAUGACGGUACCGUAAGAAUAAGCACCGGCUAACUACGUGCCAGCCGCCGCCGUAA